rfam:Bacillus infantis NRRL B-14911, complete genome.
GGUACCUUUAAUUCAGUCCCGUGAGGCUGGCAAGGACAGCGGAAAUUAUGAGAAUCAUUGGGUGAGGUGUAUCCUGCCCGCUGGUUUUUCAUGAGGAAAAAGGCUUCUUGUCGGAAACGGCGAGAAGCUUUUUUCG